rnacentral:rRNA from 1 species
GACGAACGCUGGCGGCGUGCCUAAUACAUGCAAGUAGAACGCACAGUUUAUACCGUAGCUUGCUACACCAUAGACUGUGAGUUGCGAACGGGUGAGUAACGCGUAGGUAACCUGCCUGGUAGCGGGGGAUAACUAUUGGAAACGAUAGCUAAUACCGCAUAAUAUUAAUUAUUGCAUGAUAAUUAAUUGAAAGGUGCAAUUGCACCACUACCAGAUGGACCUGCGUUGUAUUAGCUAGUAGGUGAAGUAACGGCUCACCUAGGCGACGAUACAUAGCCGACCUGAGAGGGUGAUCGGCCACACUGGGACUGAGACACGGCCCAGACUCCUACGGGAGGGAGCAGUAGGGAAUCUUCGGCAAUGGACGAAAGUCUGACCGAGCAACGCCGCGGGAGUGAAGAAGGUUUUCGGAUCGUAAAGCUCUGUUGUAAGAGAAGAACGGGUGUGAGAGUGGAAAGUUCACACUGUGACGGUAUCUGAACAGAAAGGGACGGCUAACUACGUG